rnacentral:sRNA from 1 species
UCGAGCCCAAUUCAACCUUUUCGGAAUCAGAAACAAAACCAUCUCUAAUUGCAAACCCGGCGAGUUCCUCGCGAACUCGUCCUCCCUUCCGUCGACUGCGCACCCAAGUCCACGGCUUCUUCUGUUAGGUAAAAAUCCCAAAGCGUGUUCCAAUAUGCUCAUAGGAAGGCACCGGAAUGGCUAAGAGCAGUAGCAACGAAGAAGAUGAAUGUGAUUAAGGGUGCACUGCAGCAAAUGUGGCAUAGAAACAGGACGAGAUGUCUGAGAUGAACGAUUACCAUACGGCAGAGCACAGUGGAUGAUGUGCUGAGGGCCAAGUCUAUGGUUGACUUUGGCAAGAAAACAGCACCGUACCCUAAACAUUACUGUUGAUCUUGCUUCCAUACACAUUGAUGCCCUUGAUGUAGUCAGCGGGAAUGGCCAUGAGCAUGCAAUCGUGUACAUUGGAACAUCCCAAGGAGUGUAUGGCGCUCGGGCGACAAUCAAUGUGUGGUCCCCUUUGAUCGAACACGUAAACGAGUUCAGUUUCGUACACAUCCAGUUCUCAAUUACUCAUUGACGCAAUCUCAUGGUUUUGCAGACUCAUGUGAGAACAAAAGGUGAUGAUCUACACGAAUGCAUAAAGUCUAGAGUGGUUGUUAAAGUAUAUAUGAGAGUAUCCUAGCAGAUAGAGAGAGGUAAUAAUUACUGAGGCUCAAGCAUUAGGGGUAGUAAUUCACUCUCAAGGUCCUUUGUUUGGAGGUGUUCAAAGAAAUAUGAAGUCUUCAAGUGACAAUGUCGUUGUUUGUUAGAGGUCUCUAGAUAGUUUGGUAUUUAUUUGUAUAUAUCUCAUCGUUUUGUUGUUAGCUUUAGUUUAGUGUACAACUGUAAUGUUUGAAUGUAUGAUUUUUUAUUUAAUUGUUAUAUUAUAGUAAAUGUGUAAUUUU